AUCUCGCCACCCUAAUUUCGACUGACGUGUAGAGACUAGAGAGUUCAUCUUCCCGACUCUUCCACUUCACCUUCACGGUCUAGGUUGCUCUGUAUCUCCAUUACCACUUGUUCCUCUUCAUCAAUCAGUUAUUUAAUCUCUUCUUUAUUGUUUCAUUCUUAAGUCUCACCAUCAAUACGGAACGAACUAAUCUCUUCUCCUCCCUAUUUUCACACAGUAAAAUCCCGUCUAGUUCUCUGAGUGAACUCCUACUAAACUUACUCGCUUCAUAACUCACCCCCAAAUCCAUUCCUAACAAAACGUCGACUCUGAUAUGGAGAACGACUUAGCAAGUGACAGAGAAAUCAGCGUUGAGAGCGAUGUAGUAGGCGCCGGCGAGAUCGAGAUGAAGAGCCCAGAUACAAAGCAGGUUGCAAAUCAAAAGAGGAUAUGAGAUACCAUGUGUGCAAUAAGUAUGUUACUACUCUUCGAUUUUCUCAGUGCAUAGAAAGCUUCUUUGACGAUCAUAACAUGGGAUUUAAGCACUCAGAAAUGAGAAACUGCACAGGGUUUCUAUGCUCUCAACGAUACGAAGGCGGCUGGAAGAAGGUAUUUUGUUGGAGGUGGAUGCAAUAUGUUAAGUUUAGCAUCACAAGUGGAUGCCAUUGACAAGACUUUAGCAAACGAUUAAGUUGGAGCUGACGAAAGCAUUGAGCUACCCGUUUGAAUGAAUUGCCAAGAAUGCUGGUGUUAAUGGUAGCGUUGUCAGUGUUAAAGUAGAAAAAAUGGUGCUGGCGAGCAACAAACUGAAACACGGUUACAACGAUCUAAUGUCAGCAGGAAUCAUCGAUCGAACCAAAGUGAAAAAAAAAAAAUCCAUGCUUUAUCGCAGACUAAAAUUUCUCAUUUUGUCAUGCUAACCAAGUGUUUUUUCUAUAGCAUAUGCUUCAUCCGCUAAGACAUACAGUUAUGUUUAGACCAAUGAAUCUGAAUCAGCAGCUCUGCUGGUAACUCUAUGGACAGUUCAGGAAAUAUCUGAAAUAACCAAGCUCGAAACACUCACAAUGGCGAGAUCCUUGCCUCUGUUAGGAUUGAAACAGCUCAGGACCCUUUUUCAAUUGCUUUGCAAAAAUUGACGAUCUAGAGAAGGAAUCAGGCUGGUAAUAUAUUGCCCGCAUUGGCUGCCAAACAAAAGUAAACAAGGGUCCUGCGUUAUUGAUGUUCUCAAAAUGGGGUGCUGACAAUGCUGCUGGUAUGGUAAAGUAAUUUCACACGUCCGUCUACGAUAAUGACAAGAAGGAAACAUUUUUGUGCUGCUUGGUGACGCCGGUGAAUACCUCACGGGAAGACAAGCCUCUGAUUUACUUGACAUGUAUCUGGAGUAGAGACUUGAUUCUGGUCAAGAAAUGGCAACUCCUCAAUGCCUGGUCAACUCCAUCGGCCAGACUCACAAAUUCAAGGUGAAAGUAACACCAUACAACUUCACAGCCAAAAGACAGAUUAUUACCGCCACCAGGGUGUCUGUCCUGCAGUACCCCCACCUCCUAAUCCUACAAGGCUACACUGGAAAUCCCCAUCGCAGCUUAAGAUGUACCUGACAAACUCAUUGCCAAGAAUGAUGUCAACAACUCAUCCCAACAACAAAGAUGUAGCCAGUGUUUUAUGGUGAGUUAAGUUCAUCAACCAAGGACGAGGACCAGAAAGUGAAACAAAACGUCCUGGGUGUUGUGCCUAGGAUCUCAGCCCCUCCACGUACCGACCCAGUUGGAAUCCUUGGAGACCAUUGCGACGUCCAAAAUCGUCCAGUUGUAAUCAAAAGAAGUGCAAAAAAAAAGUGUUUCAACAAUAAAACAUAUGCCUCGGUUAGAAACCUAGCAAACCAAAUAAAACGAACACUGAUUAUUUAAAAUAAAGGUUUAUAU